rnacentral:lncRNA from 1 species
CCCCUCCCAGUUUAUCCCAGUUCCCCUCGAUGCCCUCCCAGUCCAUCCCAGUCUCUCCCAGUCCAUUCCAAUCCUCUCCAAGUGUAUCCCAGUUACUCCCAGUCCAUCCCAGUCCCUCCCAAUCCCCCCAAACCCUCUUCCAAUUUAUCCCAGUCCCCCCCAAUCCCCUCCCAGUUUAUCCCAGUCCCUCUCAAUCCCCUCCCAGUCCACCCCAGUUCAUCCCAGUCCCUCCCAAUCCCUUCCCAGUCUAUCCCAGUCCUUCCUAAUCCCUUCCCAGUUCAUCCCAAUCCCCUCCCAGUUUGUCCCAGUCCAUCCCAGUCCCCCUCAAUCCCCUCCCAGUCCCUGCCAGUCCCUCCCAGUUUAUCCCAGUCCCCUCCCAGUUUAUCCCACUCCUCUCCCAGUCCCUUCCCAGUUACUCCCAGUCCCCGCCAGUCCCUCCCAGUUUAUCCCAGUCCCUCCCAGUUCAUAGUUCAUCCCAGUCCCAGUUCAUCCCAGUCCCCUCCCAGUUUAUCCCACUCCUCUCCCAGUCCCUCCCAGUUCAUCCCAGUCCCUCCCAGUUCAUCCCAGUCCCCUCCCAGUUUAUCCCACUCCUCUCCCAGUCCCUCCCAGUUCAUAGUUCAUCCCAGUCCCCUCCCAGUUUAUCCCACUCCUCUCCCAGUCCCUCCCAGUUCAUCCCAGUCCCUCCCAGUCCCUCCCAGUCCCUCCCAGUCCCUCCCAGUUACCCCCAGCCCCACCUCCAGCACCACGCUCAGCUGUUUCUCGCCCGCCGCCGCUCCCCUCCACUUCCCGCCAUCCUCGGGCCGCAGCAGAUUCUCCGCCGGGUGCCGCUGCGGACGCACCGAACCCUCAGAACCGAGCCCCGGUACCGCCGAGCCCAGCCCGGCUCCUCCCGAACCUCCCCGGGACCCACCGGGUCCGCGCUGGUCACCGACACCACCCGGGCGAACGGGAUCUCCGCCAUGAGGGCCGCGCCGGAAGUCCCCUCAGAGCGGCACCGGAAGCCGCCUCAGCGCCGCACCGGAAGCCGCCUCAGCGCCGCACCGGAA